rnacentral:misc_RNA from 1 species
GUUUGAGCAAUUAAGAAGGCCUGAUAUUCUGGGCUUGUCAGGUCCGCAUCAAGGCCUAAAAGAUCUAGAACUGAUUAGGCCUGGCCCAAUAGAUCAGGUUUAAUGGUUACAUAUGUGGAACUUUUCAUUAGCAGUAUUAUAUUUUGUUAAUUUGACUACAUAAAUAUGCCAUUGGAAAGAACAUAGCAAAAUUCCAGUUACCAUUCCAAAGAAAAUUUUAAUUUAGUCCCCAUCACUGCUGCAGUUGAGCUCAUAUGCCAGCUUUCCUUCUCUCUGUGUGUGGUUGCCUACAUUCUAGUGCAAACAUUUUGUGUGUUUAUGUAUUCAUUUUAGCAUCCUGAC